UUUCCUUUUUCUUUUUUUUUUUCGAUUAUCAAGUAUUUUUAACGCUCAUCCUCACGUGUUUUUUAAACCUGCGAAACAUUAUUGGAUUAAACAAAAAAAAUAGUAAACAAAAAGGAAUAAAGCAACGUUCAAUAUUUUGUGGUAAUUCAUAUUUUUAACGGCUAUGUUUCGUUGAAGUGGAAAUGUUUGAAAGUAAAUGAUUUGGGAAAAAGAAUCGUCAUAUAAGUUUAAAAAGAAAACAUUAGAAAGUAGAAGGUAGAACAGUUAAAGUAAACAAACAAUUAGAAUAGUGUCCAAGAUGAUAAAUUAAAAUUAACGGUUGUCAUCGUAGUUUAAAAUAAAAGUAUAAUAAUAUUAAAACUUUCUCAAUCUUUGAAACAAUUCUGAUAUAAUUUUAAACAUUUGCGAUAACGAAAAGGUUAAAAUAGAGUUUUUAACAUGAAAAAGAAACGUAAAAUGUGUUUUAUGUCAUAUUGCAAAUAAUAGUACUAAACAACGUAGUUUAUUUAUUGUUAUUAUGAAACUAUAUAUAUAUAUUAAUUACAGUAAGAAUUCUCGAAAUUGCUUGCUAUUAUUAUCAUAUCAUAAUUUAUUAUUAUCGUAUUAUUGAUAUCAUAUUGCAUCAAUAAUUACAUAAUUAUAAUAGCGUUAUUAUAUUACAUAAAAUUAAAUUCAAGUAACUUUAAUCAAAAUUUUAAAUGAAAUUUUCACACAUAAAUUAUGAAUUCAAUCAAAUUCAUUUUUUUUAUUUUUAAUUAUUCAAUUACAAUUAUAUUGUAAAUAUAAUAUAUUUACUCUUCAUAAUGUUACAAUAAAAAAAAUUUGAUAUUCAUUCUUGAUUAGUAAUUAUUAUCAUUUUGAACUAUAGACUUCACAUUGCUAUAUUUUUUCUUUAUCUAUAUGAUAACGAUAACAAUAAUAACAAUAAUAAUUUACCUAAAAUAAAAAAGCAUUAAAAAAAAGAACACGAAUUUUUUCGUAAAAUUUUCUUAAGCUGCUUUAGUAUCUUCGAAUUUUUGCUAAUUUUUAAAAUUUCAUUCGUGAAAAAAGAUUCUUUCUUGAGCAUUCGUCAAAUUUCCUUAUAUUAUAAAAUUUCUAAAUUUUUAGAGAUCUAAAUUAAUUCUUGCUUAAUCAGCUUUACUCUAUAUAAAUAAGCACUGGCAAACUAUUUAACGUUGAUAAAAUUUUCAAUAUGUAUAUUUGAACACGUUUCUCAAGUUUCUCAAAUUAUAAUUAUUAUUUAUAAAUAUCGUGUGAUCAACAUAUAAAUUUAGCAGAUUAAAUUUAUCAAAUACAGUUUAUAUAAUCUCAAAGAAAUUAAUAUAUUUGUAAUUAAAAGAUUAUAAUAAUAUUAUUACAAGAUUAUCUGUUAUUAAAAUAAAUUUUUUCUUAAUUGUAUUUUAAAGUCAUUAUUUUAAAAUAUUAAGCUUUUUUUAAUUUUAAAUAUAAUAUUAUAAUUUGUUUAAAAAACUUUUUAUCAGAUUAUUUUUCUUUUAAUGAUAACUUAGUCAUAUUUUUUUAAAUUAUGAAACAAAAUAAAAUAAAAGUUUACCUAUACUAAUAUUUUAAAAUUUAGAAAAAUUUUUACACAAUGAUACAACAUUUAUUAUAGAUUAUUGUCGAAAACAUGCAAAACAAAUAAAUCUAUUUGAUUUUACGAUUUUGCAAUGAAAAAAAUUGCUGAAGGCAAAGUUUACAUAACUCAAACAUUUUCAAACAGUGAUAUACAAUAAAUUAAUAAUCAAAUAACCAAAUAAAUUUAAAAUUCAAUUAUUUUUUCUCGAUAAAUUAUUAAAAAAUAUUUAAGAUUUUAUAAAUAUUUCGUAAAUUUAUCCAAUCGAAAAUUUACAUCGAUUAAUGUUUCAGAAAACUAAUUUAAUCACUAUAGUUUGAAAUUCAGUGAAAUUGAGUCACUGAAUUAAUAAAUGUUUUAUACGAAUCAAAUCAAUUUUACUUAUAAUAAUCCUUUGAUGAGACCGUCACUUAAAUUCUUAUUUCUAUUUUUUGAUCAUAAGUUAUUUUUAGAUUUUUUUCUUUCUUUCCUUCUCUUUCUCUCUUUCACUCACACAUUUUCAUAAUUAUGAUAUUUAUUAUUUAUCGAACAAUUUUAUUGUUUUUAUUUCUUAUAAUAAUAUAAUAUCCAAUCAUAAUCGUAAUUCUAAUUAUGAUUAUAACUUGAUAAAAACAUUAUUCUCUCUAAAUCGAUAUUUCUAAUGGAAAGUUUCUUGACCGCUUUCAUCGCUAUCAUUGUUCGUGAUAUCGGUGCAAACAAAUAUGAACAAGUCUAUUCAUCGAUCGCACGUGCAAAUCGUUGAACAAAACCGGUUAACUAGAGUGAUAAAUUUGAUAAAUUUUCGAUUCAUAUUCCUUUUUCUAAUAUUUUUAAUAACAAACUUUUUAGAAUAAGAAAGAAUAAUUUUCUCUCUUGAAAUUGCUUAUUCUUACAGUUUAAAUUAAGUAAAAAAUAAAAUUUAAAAUUAAAUUUUUCAUUAACUUCAAAAACUUAAAAUUUCAGAAUUAUUUAUUAUUUUACUUAUUUUUUUUAAAACAAGUAGACUUUAUUAAAAUGUUAAAAACACGUUAUUUGUUAAAAUAUUAAAGAGAUAAAUCACGUUCUUUGUUUGUUAAAAUGUUAAAGAAAUAAAUCAUACUGUUUGUAAAAAAUUAAAGAAAAUUUAUGAAUCCUAGAUUUAAUUUAAUAUCAAGCUCAAUUAAGUAAUUAAAAUGUAAUUUUUUUUGAAGAAACGAAAGAGACGACUCAAAUCUUCUUAAGUAAUAAAUUUAUAUUUCAACAUUGCGAAAAUCUCAAUUUCCAUAUUUACGAAUAUGAUUCUUUUUCUUGCACUCUUCUGCUAUAACAUCUCAGAAAUUUUCCAUCCAUGCAAACUGCUAUCGAUGUUCUCGUUUUCAAUCAUUGGUCUUAUCUAGUUCGCAAUGAAAUAUGAUUUAUACUUACACAUUAGAAAUUUCGCAUGCUUCUUAGUAGAUCAAUGAAUUUCAAAUACAAUAUACGUAAACGUAUUUACCUUUAUCCUUAAUAGAAUUUUAAAUUAAGCAAUAUUAUUUCAAUAUUAAAAUUUUACGUAGAAGAUGACCCAAUAACAAGAAGAAAAUUAGAAUAUGAAUAGAAUUCGUUGAGAUGAGUUCAGAUCAUAAAAAAUAAAAAAAUGAUAACGAUAACCUUUUAGUUAUAGUGUAAGAAAUGAAAAAUAUAAAAAUUUUUUAAUAUUGUAAAAACAUUGCCUCUAAUCUUUCAGAUUUAGUACAAAGAUAACUUGGGAAAAUUAAAUGGCUAUUAUUGAAAUUUUAAUUUUUAAACAUAUCAUUUGAUCUUUUUAAUUUUUAUUAUCAAUCAUAUUUUUUUCUUGAUUUUAUAAAUUAGUAUUUUAAAAUGAAUAAAUGAUAAUUUCCUUUAAUUCAUUUUAAAUCUAAUCUUUAUAUGCUUAUUCAAAAUUAUCUUUAUAUAGGAAAAAAUAUUUGCUAAUUUGUAAUGAAUUACAAAAUUGUAGUGAAUAACAAAUCAAUAAAAAUCAUAUAAAAAUCAAUAAAAGUAAUGAUCUUUAAAUGAUUCGUCACAUCUUGAAAAAUAUAUCAUAUAUCAAUUUCAUAUUUUAAUAUUUUCAUAUUUUAAUAAACUUAGUAUAAUGUAAAUUAAAACAAAGCAUCUUUUAAUUUAAAUAUGUUUAUUUAAUUUCACAAAAAAAUGUCGUGUUCAUCAAUAUUUUAUUUCUUCGUCUUUCAUCUAUAAAAUCGGAUACUUUGUUUGAUGACGGUUUUCUAUGCACGAGAUCAACGACGAUCGCAAACAAUAACACGAGCAAAAAUAUGUACGACGCACGUGCCGCACGUGGAUGAUAAUGAUACGCACGUGAUAGCUUGCUAUCAGCCAGUUAAUCUGAUUGAUAAUUGUAUGAUAUCCAGCUUCUAAUACUACAUUCAUUGUAAAUAGGAACAUUCGUACUUCGAUAAAAAUUCUUUGUGUGCCAACGGAAACGGAAAAAGAAAUAGAACGUGUCUGAUUAAAUUGUCGUCGAUAAAUAUUAUUUGAUAUCUUGUAGAAAUUUUUCUUUACAAAUGAAUUUUUAGAAGAUUUUAUUUAUUAUCAAAAUAAUUAAUAAUAAAGUUUUAAUAUUAGAGAUAAACUAGAUAAGAAUCAUUUUUUUAUGACUACUUAUAAAUAUCCUACUUUUAUAAUUCGAAAUUUUGAAAAGUCAAAUAAAAAUAACUCAAAAAUUAAAUUCUUCGUAAACCAAAAAAAUAAUUAUUGUUAUUAUUGAUUGUUUAUUGAUUAUCUUGAAUAUAAAAAAUUAUGAGAGAUAGUUUAAAAUUUAACUUAAAUGUAGAUUUUUUUUAAUAUUUAUAUAAUAUAAUAUUUAUAAUAUUUAUAAAUUUUUUUAACAUUGAGAACAAUGAUUUUUAUUUUUUAAAUACAAAUAAUUUUUUCCUAUAUUCUUUAUUAAUUCUCUUUAUAUGUUAUAUAUAAGAAUUAUUAUAUAUAAGAAGAAGUCUUUGAUGAAUGGAAAAAUUUAUAAACGUAGAUAGAAGGAACGUAUAAUUUAAAAAAAUUCCACAUUUCAUUGAAGUAUCUUCGAUAAAAAAAUUAUGCAAAUUAAUAAUGUAAAUAUUUUAUAAGCAGAGUGUCGAAGUAUUUUUUGCAUUUAUAUUAAAAAUUCAAAUAUAAAAAAAUAUACAGAAUAUAUAUAAUAUGUAAAAAAAUUUAUUUAAAAUAAAAAAUACAAAAUACAAAAAAUACAUUAUAAUAGUUAAAUAUAUGUAUAUUAACAAAUAAAUUUUGAAUGAAAAUCAC